GAUAAACGCUGGCGGCGUGCCUAACACAUGCAAGUCGAGCGAUCUUCUUCGGAAGAGAGCGGCGGACGGGUGAGUAACGCGUGGGUAACCUGCCCUGUACACACGGAUAACAUACCGAAAGGUAUGCUAAUACGGGAUAACAUAAGAAAUUCGCAUGUUUUUCUUAUCAAAGCUCCGGCGGUACAGGAUGGACCCGCGUCUGAUUAGCUAGUUGGUGAGGUAACGGCUCACCAAGGCGACGAUCAGUAGCCGACCUGAGAGGGUGAUCGGCCACAUUGGAACUGAGACACGGUCCAAACUCCUACGGGAGGCAGCAGUGGGGAAUAUUGCACAAUGGGCGAAAGCCUGAUGCAGCAACGCCGCGUGAGCGAUGAAGGCCUUCGGGUCGUAAAGCUCUGUCCUCAAGAAAGAUAAUGACGGUACUUGAGGAGGAAGCCCCGGCUAACUACGUGCCAGCAGCCGCAGUAAUAC
rnacentral:rRNA from 1 species